GGGGGUUCGAGUCCUACUCUUGCCACCA
rnacentral:misc_RNA from 1 species